rnacentral:rRNA from 1 species
UACGUAGGGGGCAAGCGUUGUCCGGAUUUAUUGGGCGUAAAGAGCGUGUAGGCGGCCAAGCAGGUCCGCUGUGAAAACUCGAGGCUCAACCUCGAGACGUCGGUGGAAACCGUUUGGCUAGAGUCCGGAAGAGGAGAGUGGAAUUCCCGGUGUAGCGGUGAAAUGCGCAGAUAUCGGGAAGAACACCCGUGGCGAAGGCGGCUCUCUGGGACGGUACUGACGCUGAGACGGCGAAAGCGUGGGGAGCGAACAGGA